AAAGUUGGAAAAUUGACUUGCACACAUAGAUCUGGUCCACAGGUAGGUUGGUGACUCCCACAGCAUGAUUCAGCACACCCACGACAUGGUGAAUUUACUAAGAAGACAAAGUUUACAGGAAGAGUAGAGGCUCUGAUGCAGUCCACUGUUGAGAUUGUGACUCCUGCUCACAUGGGAGACAAUGACAUAUCACUGGGCCCAAUGCCAAAGUGACAUUGCUUUUUUUACCUUGACCCUCUUCUCAGAAAACAUUGUGACGCAUUGUUGGGGCACAGUCAACGUGACCUGAGUCUCCUGCAUGAACCCUGACCACAGAGACCAUCG
rnacentral:lncRNA from 1 species